rnacentral:rRNA from 1 species
UACGUAGGUGGCAAGCGUUGUCCGGAUUUAUUGGGUUUAAAGGGUGCGUAGGCGGCCUUAUAAGUCAGUGCUGAAAUAUCCCGGCUUAACCGGGAGGGUGGCAUUGAUACUGUAGGGCUUGAGUAAAGUUGAGGUUGGCGGAAUUGACGGUGUAGCGGUGAAAUGCUUAGAUAUCGUCAAGAACACCGAUAGUGUAGACAGCUAACUAAGCUUUAACUGACGCUGAGGCACGAAAGUGUGGGGAUCAAACAGG